AGAGUUUGAUCCUGGCUCAGGACGAACGCUGGCAGUGUGUCUUACACAUGCAAGUCGGGCGGAUCUCUUUAAUUGCAGCAAUGCAAUUAAAGAGAUCGAGCGGCAAACGGGUGAGUAAUGGAUAGGUAAUCUACCAUAAUGACUGGGAUACCCCCUUGAAAAAGGGAUCAAUACCAGAUAAUGUCAGUUUAAAUACUUUUAAACUGAAGAAAGAUGGCCCAAAGCUAUCACAUUAUGAUGAGCCUAUCUCCUAUCAGCUUGUUGGUGAGGUAAUGGCUCACCAAGGCUAUGACGGGUAGCUGGUCUGAGAGGAUGGUCAGCCACACUGGAACUUAGAUACGGUCCAGACUCCUACGGGAGGCAGCAGUGGGGAAUCUUGGGCAAUGGGCGAAAGCCUGACCCAGCGACACUGCGUGGGUGAUGAAGAUCUUUGGAUUGUAAAACCCUUUUCCUGAAGAUGAAAGGUAGGAUUGAGAAUAUCCUUCCUACCCUGACAGUAUUCAGGGAAUAAGCCCCAGCCAACUACGUGCCAGCAGCUGCGGUAAUACGUAGGGGGCGAGCGUUGUCCGGAAUUACUGGGUGUAAAGGGUGUGCAGGCUUCCUUUUAAGUUGAUUGUGAAAUCCAUGAGGCUCAACCUCUGAAUUGCAGUCAAUACUGGAAGGAUAGAGGAUAUGGGAGGGAAGUGGAAUUCCCGGUGUAGCGGUGAAAUGCGUAGAUAUCGGGAGGAACACCAGCGGUGAAGACGGCUUCCUAACAUAUUCCUGACGCUCAUACACGAAAGCUAAGGGAGCAAACAGGAUUAGAUACUCUGGUAGUCUUAGCUGUAAACGUUGGAUACUAGGUGUUGGGAGAGUAACUCUCUCAGUGCCGAAGCUAACGCGUUAAGUAUCCCACCUGGGGAGUACGAUCGCAAGGUUGAAACUCAAAGGAAUUGACGGGGGCCCGCACAAGCAGCGAGGUAUGUGGUUUAAUUCGAGGCUACACGAAGAACCUUACCUGGGCUUGACAUGUAAGUGAAAGGGUUAAGAAACUAACUCUCUCUUAUGUAGCAAUACAUAAGACACUUACACAGGUGGUGCAUGGUUGUCGUCAGCUCGUGCCGUGAGGUGUAAGGUUAAGUCCUUGAACGAGCGCAACCCUCCCUGUUAUUUGCUAUAAGUUCUUAUGAGCUUAGCACUAUAACAGUACCGCUACCGACAAGGUAGAGGAAGGCGAGGAUGACGUCAAAUCAUCACGCCCCUUAUGUCCAGGGCUACACACAUGCGACAAUGGUUGGUACAGAGGGAAGCAAUAGAGUAAUCUGGAGCAAAUCCCCAAAAACCAGCCCCAGUACAGAUCGAGGGUUGAAACCCACCCUCGUGAAGAUGGAGUUGCUAGUAAACGCAGGUCAGCUACACUGCGUUGAAUAUGUUCCCGGGCCUUGUACACACCGCCCGUCACACCACCCGAGUUGGAUGCACCCGAAGAUACAAAACCCAACCGUAAGGAGGGCUGUAUUGAAGGUGUGUUCAAUAAGGAGGGUGAAGUCGUAACAAGGCAGGUGUACGAGAACGUGCGCCUG
rnacentral:rRNA from 1 species